UUAUGGCCAUAUCACGUUGAAACUUCGGUUCCCGUACGAUCACCGAAGUUAAACAACGACGAUCCCAGUCAGUACCUAGAUGGGUGACCGUUUAGGAAUACCAGGCGCU